CUACUUCCGGUUCCUCUCUCUGGUUCCUGAAUGCUGAAGCAAUGCGACUGGCUGCUUCAGGCUCCCCCCGCUGUGAAUUCCACCCAGAUGUACGCCAGGAUGGACUUCUCUCUCCCUUCAAUUGUUUCUGGUUGCAGCAACAAGAUUCCUGCAAGAAGCUACCUGCUGAGCCGCUGAGCUUGUUUUCCUGACAGAUCCUGACAAAGUGAAAAAAAGCGAUCCUGGCAUAGUGGGGGAUGGGUCCCCCCCCCCCAUCCCUCACCCCUUUAAAAAUCAGGCCCUAGAAUUAAAGUUGAGCCUUGAUCAGA
rnacentral:lncRNA from 1 species